GCCCUGGUGAAAAACAAAUAUACUUUAUUGUAUUUCAAGUAUAUUUAACUUUGCAAUAGUACAUUACAAAUAUACUUACAAAGGAAUGUACUUUCUUUAAACAUAUUUAAAGUAUGCUUACAACAUAUUUGCGCGUAUUUUUUACAAUUAAACUUUUAACAUACUUCAAAAUAAUUAUACUUUAGUAUAUUUUCUAAAAGUAUACUUUAGAAAAAUAUACUUAAAGUUAAAGUUUUGUGCAAUUUUUAAAGUAUACUAAAUUUAAACUUAUUUUAAAAUGUAUUUUAGGUAUACUUUAUCGGUAUGCUUAAAGUUAUCAUUAUAAUAAUGCACUGACAGUAUAUUUCUAAAAUACAUUAUUUAGUAUUCUUUAGAAACAGUAUAUUUUAAGUACAUUUUGAAAGUAUAUGGGGUGUACAAAUGUAUAUUAUUUUAUGGAGAAAUAACGUGGGCUUAAAAUUACGAGAGAGCAGUAUGUUCAGUUACAUUUUAUAUUGUAGAUGUAUACAUUUGUAAUAUACUAUUAACAUAAUAAGGUACACUUUAACUUCACUAUAGUCAAGCAUUGGAUAAACCAAUUAACUGUGUUUUACCACAAAAUAACCGUGGUUUUGCUAAUAAUAAUCAAUACACCAAAAAAACAUGGUUACUAAACUUUUACCACAAAAAAAAAAACAUUCAUUUUCGUAAGGGGAAUAUGAGUGUUUGUUUUUUUGUAGUUUUUCAGUCAAUUGCAUACCGCUUUUAGCUGUACAAAACUUAAACAGUUUUCGUAAAUGCAUUUCAGAGAAAAGUGAAUUCUGAGAUUUGAAUAAUGCAUCUGACGUGUGUGUGAUGACGUCACGACGCACGUAUUUUGAUUUUUACCAGUCGUUCAAGGCGGACGGAUUCAGUCCCAAGAAGCUAAAGUUUUUCAAAGACAUUUGUAGGGAGGACUUUGCAGCUAAUGGAGCUGAAGUAUUUUAUGUAAGGAGGAUUUUGCAGCCCAUAUAGAUUUCCUUAGGCUGAACCAAAACCUGCCAGACUAAAGUUGAUUUGGGAGAGAAAGACGUUGUAAACUCAAUCAUCUUGACAUUCUUCAAUGAGUAAUUGUUCAAUUUUUAGGCAAAUACUGUACACUUUGAAAACUGUGAAUAAAACUAUAUUUUAAAUAUA